rnacentral:rRNA from 1 species
UGAACGCUGGCGGCGUGCCUAAUACAUGCACGUCGAGCGAACGGACGAGAAGCUUGCUUCUCUGAUGUUAGCGGCGGACGGGUGAGUAACACGUGGAUAACCUACCUAUAAGACUGGGAUAACUUCGGGAAACCGGAGCUAAUACCGGAUAAUAUUUUGAACCGCAUGGUUCAAAAGUGAAAGACGGUCUUGCUGUCACUUAUAGAUGGAUCCGCGCUGCAUUAGCUAGUUGGUAAGGUAACGGCUUACCAAGGCAACGAUGCAUAGCCGACCUGAGAGGGUGAUCGGCCACACUGGAACUGAGACACGGUCCAGACUCCUACGGGAGGCAGCAGUAGGGAAUCUUCCGCAAUGGGCGAUAGCCUGACGGAGCAACGCCGCGUGAGUGAUGAAGGUCUUCGGAUCGUAAAACUCUGUUAUUAGGGAAGAACAUAUGUGUAAGUAACUGUGCACAUCUUGACGGUACCUAAUCAGAAAGCCACGGCUAACUACGUG